rnacentral:miRNA from 1 species
AUGUAUAUAUGUAUACACACACCUGUAUAUUCACAGAUGUGUGUAUAUGUGUAUAUAU